UGCCAAUUGGCCAACCAGGGGAUGGAGUUUCCCUGUACUCUGUGUCCGGGAGUGAGUCCAGCCCAAACUGGAACUGAGCAGUACCUGACAAAGCUGUAUGGGCACCCUGCGCAAAGCUGUCAUAUCUAUGAAAGAAGAAUUUAAGUUGCUGUGCUGAAGAGGAACACAAUACAAGGAAGUAAACAGACAGCUGUUUUGCUCUAAUACAUGGCAAUAAACUUUUCAAAAUAUG